rnacentral:rRNA from 1 species
AACGAACGCUGGCGGCAUGCCUAACACAUGCAAGUCGAACGAGACCUUCGGGUCUAGUGGCGCACGGGUGCGUAACGCGUGGGAACCUGCCCUUAGGUUCGGAAUAACUCCCCGAAAGGGGUGCUAAUACCGGAUAAUGUCUUCGGACCAAAGAUUUAUCGCCUUUGGAGGGGCCCGCGUUGGAUUAGCUAGUUGGUAGGGUAAAAGCCUACCAAGGCGACGAUCCAUAGCUGGUCUGUGAGGAUGAUCAGCCACACUGGGACUGAGACACGGCCCAGACUCCUACGGGAGGCAGCAGUGGGGAAUAUUGGACAAUGGGCGAAAGCCUGAUCCAGCAAUGCCGCGUGAGUGAUGAAGGCCUUAGGGUUGUAAAGCUCUUUUACCCGGGAUGAUAAUGACAGUACCGGGAGAAUAAGCUCCGGCUAACUCCGUG